rnacentral:lncRNA from 1 species
AUUCAAAAACAAUGAUUCAGAAAUAAAAUAAAUGUAUGUAAAAGCCAUUAGAUACUGCAAAUUCAGAACAACUUUAAUGGAUAAAUUAAGCAGGGACAAAAAAUAAGAAUGGUUACUUUUAAUCAAAGGUAAAAAACAUGAACAGGAAAAUAUCUAUCUAUAAGUAGGCUUACAGAAAUAUUUAUUCAAACCAAAAGUAAUUGUGAACUUAGCAUGCAAUUCCCAAUAGUUACACCUGUCAUGUUAAAAAUACAUUAGUAAACUAGCUUUAAAUCUGAUAAAAGGGAAUGAUGCACCAUACAAAAAGGGAAUAGAAGGACCAAUAUAUUUCUAAAUUUAUAAACCAUUGAAUUUUCUAGGAGUGAAUUAUGAAAUUUUGUUAAGUUUUUUUUAGAACAAAGGAUAAACAAGAUUAUCAUUUUUGAAAACAAAACAAGCUCAAAUGAAUGUGAUACUUUAAACAUUUUAAUUAUAUGUCUGCAAAAAUUAGUUAUUUGGUUCAUUACAAGUGCAGAGGACAUGCAAUACAUUGUUUCUGUGUAUUGUUGGCAAACUAAAAAUAUCCACAAAAUAAAAUGAAUCCACAGUAUCUAACUUAAAAAUAUAAAUGAGUAUUCUUAAUAUUAUAUAUAUUGCAUGAGGGAAAAAAUUAAACAAAAGGAUGCUAAAACAAUUUUAUGUAGGUAUGAUUUCAAUAAAUUUCUAAUUUGGAGAUUAAAUACUCCAUCUCUAAUCAAAUUAUAGCUCAUCAUAUACGUGUAAUCCUCCUGAGUAAAAACAGAACAACAAUCAUGUGCUUAAAUAAUGUUCUAAAUGAUGCAUUUAUAACACACUAUAAACCAGAUGCUCCACAGGGCGCAGCUUAAUACGACUGCAGUGGUGGAACCCUGAACAGUUGGGGCAAGUAUUGAAACAACAUCCAAGCUUGAUACAGCUCUGAAUUUGGAUUAUGAUUAAAUAGUUGACACAUCAUAGGUUUCUGACACAAAUUGAAUGUGGUCAAAUGAACUUAAACAUUUUUUUUUUUGCUAUUGAGCAAUACACUAUGCUGUUGAAUAUUUAUCCCCUCAAAAAAAAAUAUUUGUAGAAAAAUUCUUUUUAAUUUCUGAAAUCUGAAAUGAGAAAAAUUUUACACCCCUACCUUUCCAACACUUUAUUCACCUCCCCUGUUUCCUUAUUAAAAAAAUAAUCUCAAUUCAAAUUUCUAAUUGAGUUGACAACAAUAACUACUCAUUUAAAUACAUCAUAAAAUAUUAAAAUAUAAAAUAACUUACAAUCAUGGUUACAAUUAAUAUUAAUAAACAGUAACUUCUAAAAAUAAAUUUACAGCUACACAUCUCAAGACAAUUAUCACUGUCUUUAUACAUAAUUUUCAAGCAGUGUAAGGGAGGUAAUCAAACAUAUAUAUAACAGUGUUCAUUAAAUUUUAAUUGAAUUACCUCCCCUUCACGGCUUUUAAAUUUUCUAAAUUGUCCUGUAACCAGAAAAACCCUUGUUUUCCGCCUUUUAUGUCCCUAGUUGCUUGAUGAUUUGAACCAUCCCCCUCCGUCCCCAUAACCAUCCUUUUGUAGUAUGGUAACUUGUGGUAUAAUUUCAGAGAGAUUUAUACACUUAAACACAAGUUAUUGACUGAAAACUAAAAAAAAUCUUAUUUUGGCCCCAAAUUUCUACACAUUUGGGACCAUAACCCCCAAAAUUAAUCCAGAGCUUCUACCUGUGGUAUUAAAAAUUGAUGGCACAAUUUCAGAGCAAUUGAAAUGCUUAUACUCAAGUUGAUAUCCUGAAAGUAGAAGAAUGCAUUUUGGGCCCCUAAUUCCAAAACGGUAGGGACCAUCAUCCCUAAAAUCAAUCCCAACCUUCCUUUUGAGGUAUUGAACCUUUUUAUAAAAUUUCAUAGAGAUCUAUUUUCUUAAACUAAAGUUAUUGUCCGGACACCAAAUGUGUCUUCGCAGACGAUGCAGAGGACAACAUCAUACCAUUAUACGAACGCAAAUUUUUUUUUGUGGUCGUAUAAAAAACAGUCUACUUGACUAAAACCUUAGACUGACAAAGAGAGUAUUAAAAUACAAUAUUCUUAUUUCUAAUCUAAUACAAUGAAUACAUUUUGUCAGUUAAUGCUUCUUAGUUGAGUCAAAACAUUGUCUGUGGGAGCAUUUAACAUUCUGGCAAGCUUAACUUAGUAGAUAAUAAAUUUAAUCUCAUAAAAUUUGACAAUGUCAAUUAAUAAAAAAAAAAAAAAUUGCAUUAAAAUCCUUUUUUCCUCUGAUCAGUGAUUGUUUUAAGGCAUUAAAUCCAUUCAUUACUUUGAUAAUCUUCUGCUCUUGUCAGAAACUGUCUAAUACGUUGAAUUGAGUUCCGGUAUAUUGUCAAAAUCUGGCAAAAGUUACCUUAUAAUGAUGAUUUUCAAAGUUCAGGACAUUUUUAGCUAAAACUGUCUACAGCAAUUUGGAUCAAAUAACUUAACUGUUUAGUUUAUCAACCAAAUUAAUGUAGUAUUAUUUACAAGAUAUACACUAGAAUGAUGAAUACAUGUAUUUAAAAUAUAAAAUGUAAUACUUUUCACAUAUAAAAAAGCAAUACAAAGGGAACAGGGGUUAAAUACAAAUACAACUUCAAAAUAGCGUAAAGAUGCAAAAGAUAAUUAAAACAGAUUAUAAAUCCUCUGAGAAUUUUGUGUGUAAAAUUUUUAAUAAGAUAAAAUAAAUCAUAUGACUUUUGGGCAAAUAUCUCUAAAGUCCAUCAAGCCUCAAAUCUUUUCCAACAUCUGGAAAUUAACUAAAUAAAUGGUGUUGAAUGUAUAGAAAUAUGUCUAAUAUACAAAAUAAUCUAUCAAGAUGUAUAAGGUGACAUUUUAAAAAGAUAUUGAAAGUAAAUUUUUCAAUUUGUUACAAAUAUUAAAAAAUAAAUGUAUUCUGAGAUAGUGUCGAAAUUUAAAAAUCACUGUACAUUGAUAUGUACCUGUUUACCUCAGUGAAUAUGUUGGUUAACAUGAAUAUUAAUUUUGAUGAAAAUUUGAGUUAUUGGAAACAUGAUCCCUUUUGAUGUGUUAAUUCAUUCAUCUGUGCAUAGUCUAUAAUAAAGUGUUAACAUAGAGAUAUCUCUCUCUCUUUGACCUAAUCUCUAACCUGAAUAAUUGUUAAGGACACUCAGCUAAAACAGUGAGCCUAAGUUUUGCAUCUGAGACUUUCUUCCCAGUUGAAACAGAAUGAGUGUUUUUUAAAUGAUUGGUUAUAUCCAAGUAAACUGCAUGCAAGAAAAAAAAUCAACCUAAAUUGUGCAAAAUUCUAUAAUAUACUAUGGCAGGCUUGAAAACAGCAAAAUAUUGCACUAUCUGUAAUAUCAUAUACAUGUUUAUACAAAUAUUUAUCAAUAUUUUAACUAAUAAUAAGACUUGUAAAUUUAUACAGGAAAACGUCUGAAGCAAAACAGCUCCAAAAAUGUGUGAUAACUGUAUUCAAUGCAUGGCAGUAAUAUCUGUCACAAACUAUGGUUCCCCCUUCAUCAAACAAAUUUCAUUCUGGUAUUUACUAUAAUUUAUGCUGUAUUAGUUAAGGCUUUGGGCAUAAACAGAACAUUAUGUUAUUCCACAUAUUUUAGCUAAUUUCAUAUGGUUUAAUACAAAAUUAUAAAAUUUAUAUAACAAUAGAUGAAAAGUUCAAUGACUUUGAUAAUACUCAUGUCAAAUAUUUU